AUUGAACGCUGGCGGCAGGCCUAACACAUGCAAGUCGAACGAGUGGCGGACGGGUGAGUAAUGUCUGGGAAACUGCCCGAUGGAGGGGGAUAACUACUGGAAACGGUAGCUAAUACCGCAUACCAUCGGAUGUGCCCAGAUGGGAUUAGCUUGUAGGUGAGGUAACGGCUCACCUAGGCGACGAUCCCUAGCUGGUCUGAUAGGAUGACCAGCCACACUGAAACUUAGACACGGUCCAGACUCCGACGGUGGGCAGCAGUGGGGAAUAUUGCACAAUGGGCGCAAGCCAGAUGCAGCCAUGCCGCGUGUAUGAAGAAGGCCUGCGGGGUGUAAAGUACUUUCAGCGGGGAGGCGUUACCCGCAGAAGACGCACCGUCUAACUCCGUGCAAGCAGCCGCGGUGAUAC
rnacentral:rRNA from 1 species